rnacentral:rRNA from 1 species
GACGAACGCUGGCGGCGUGCCUAAUACAUGCAAGUAGAACGCUGAAGAGAGGAGCUUGCUCUUCUUGGAUGAGUUGCGAACGGGUGAGUAACGCGUAGGUAACCUGCCUUGUAGCGGGGGAUAACUAUUGGAAACGAUAGCUAAUACCGCAUAACAAUGGAUGACACAUGUCAUUUAUUUGAAAGGGGCAAUUGCUCCACUACAAGAUGGACCUGCGUUGUAUUAGCUAGUAGGUGAGGUAAUGGCUCACCUAGGCGACGAUACAUAGCCGACCUGAGAGGGUGGUCGGCCACACUGGGACUGAGAAACGGCCCAGACUCCUACGGGAGGCAGCAGUAGGGAAUCUUCGGCAAUGGGGGCAACCCUGACCGAGCAACGCCGCGUGAGUGAAGAAGGUUUUCGGAUCGUAAAGCUCUGUUGUAAGUCAAGAACGGGUGUGAGAGUGGAAAGUUCACACUGUGACGGUAGCUUACCAGAAAGGGACGGCUAACUACGUG